rnacentral:rRNA from 1 species
AGUGAACGCUGGCGGUAGGCCUAACAAAUGCAAGUCGAACGGCAGCACAGUAAGAGCUUGCUCUUACGGGUGGCGAGUGGCGGACGGGUGAGGAAUGCAUCGGAAUCUACUUUUUCGUGGGGGAUAACGUAGGGAAACUUACGCUAAUACCGCAUACGACCUACGGGUGAAAGCAGGGGAUCUUCGGACCUUGCGCGAUUGAAUGAGCCGAUGUCGGAUUAGCUAGUUGGCGGGGUAAAGGCCCACCAAGGCGACGAUCCGUAGCUGGUCUGAGAGGAUGAUCAGCCACACUGGAACUGAGACACGGUCCAGACUCCUACGGGAGGCAGCAGUGGGGAAUAUUGGACAAUGGGCGCAAGCCUGAUCCAGCCAUACCGCGUGGGUGAAGAAGGCCUUCGGGUUGUAAAGCCCUUUUGUUGGGAAAGAAAAGCAGCAGGUUAAUACCCCGCUGUUCUGACGGUACCCAAAGAAUAAGCACCGGCUAACUUCGUG